rnacentral:lncRNA from 1 species
UUAAACUACCAUGCAAUUAAGGAACAAGCUACUAGAAUUUUGACAAAACAGGAACCGAAUGGAAGCAAGGCAACUAUCUGCUGUCUAAACGGUGGAAAGGAAAAAGGAGUAGGAGUUGUUUGAUAAUUGGGCGGUGGGAAACCGUUAUUUGGACAGCUGCCAGGAAGGAACUUACCACCGAAACUGCUGAGUAAGCAGCGACCGAAUGAGAGGAACUUGGAAUGAUUAGCCACCGAAUGGAGGAACAUUGAGUGAUCAGCUGAGUGAAGAAGUACGCUUAAUUCUCUUCCUACCAACCAAGCAUUAGGAACAAAACUGAGAGAGAGAGAUUCGGUCACACCCAUUUUAUCUCAAAAACCCAAUCGAGUGAGAGGAAAAGAAAACAGAGAACGAAGCUUUCUUUCUUCUUCAUACCCAAAACCGUGAGAAAGAGUGAGAGUGAAGAAGCAUUUCUAGUUCCUUCUAGCCACAACCGAGUGAGUAAGAGAGCUGAGUGAGUGAUAAGAGGAGGAAGCUAACUUAGAAUUUCACAUAUCAGCUACCAUAGUGAGGAGGAACCGAAGCUAGGAGCAGGAGCAAUCUGCCACUAGUAAAACUUAGCAGAAAAAGGUAAGAAUCUUGUAACCACCCUUUUAUUUCUUGAAUAUAACUGAAUAUAUGGGCUUCAUGUUAGUUUAGCAAGGAAUAAUAAGUUUUAACCGAAGGAAGAUCUGAUAAAGAAGAAAAAUUGGAACUGGACUGAAGUUGUAGGAAGUAGGAACCGAGAGUUGUUGUUUGUUGCUGCAGCUUGUUAACCGAAAGUAUGGGGUAAUUUUCUGCUAGAAGCUUAAACUAUAUGUUAUUUCCUUGUCUUACCUGAGUAACUAGAGUAGAGUUGAUAGCUUGAGUGAAAACUUUGCUAAGAUUAGCUGGUAGUUUCUAUCUAGUUGGCUAAGAGAGGAAAUACGAAAUUUUCCAGAUUUCUUGACAGAUUUUGGGUUCCAAAUUCUUACGUUGAAGCUUAAUACCCUGCAUAAUAGUUUAGUCUCAGCAUGCAUGUUAGAUUGAGUGGGAAAUGAAGUAGAUAAUAGAGAAAUGUCUUGCUUUAAAAAACUGAGUUGCUGCCAAAACUUUUCCAGCAUGGCUGAAAGAGAGAGUUACACUUCAGAUCAGCCUUUCUUUCGAAGUUCAGCUGUAAAAUUUUAUACUUGCUGUUCAAGAUUACUUUGUAGCUUGCUAAUUAUGUUUUGCAUGUUGAGUUGAAGUUAAAACUGAAGAAAAUGUGAAGAACGAACCGAAUAAUUAACUGUCUUAUGGCUGAAGGUUUACUUAGCUAAUGACAGAAUUAGUUGUGGCUUUUGGGUUGAAUAAUCCGUUGAAACUAGAUGCUAAUUGCUUUGGUAUAUGCUGGAAUGAAUGUAACUUAAGUAUAUGGAGAUUUAAGCAAGUGAAAGAAUAGAGUAUUUGCUUAAAAGCUUGAAAUAACAUUACUGGAAAUUUGUGAUUUGUCUGUCUAGUUGGGGCAUGAAAGUGAAAGGAAAGACUUGAGAAAACAACAAAUGUUGGACCGUUACACUGCUAGAAAAUUUAGUUGGGGAAUGCUAUAGCUGAUAACAGCUUUUGUAUGUGAUUUUGGCCGAAUAACAUGCUGAAAUUAUGAGUUAUUCACCUUAGUUCAUGUUGAACAGAAUGUAUACUAAGUGACUAAUAUUUGAGUAAGUGAAAGAUGGAAUUUGUUGAAGAUUUAGAAACAUUUGAUCCAAAAUUCUUGCUUUGGCUGACCGAAUGUGUGAAGAGAUGAAGCUCUCAUGAAACUUUUGAAAAUUUAUGUUAAAUGGUUGUGAAUUUAUAUGGAGCAUCUUAUAGUAUCUUGAAACUAUUUUAUGAGUAUUUUAAAGAACUUAAAACUGAAAAAUUAGUAAAAUUUAAACGAGAUUUAAACUAUUGGCAACUUGGAGUCUAGUUUAAUCCAAAAAGAAAAGAAUGAAAAGGCAAUUUGCCUUAAUCUUAGAAUAUUGGAUAGAAAAUGGUUUAAUCUUAGGUUAAACGUUUUAUAAGACUAUAAACUUGGUAUAUGUAUAAUUCUUGAUUAAAACAAUUAAGUCAAUAAGUUUCAAAAUAAAAUGAUAAAUGAAUAUUGAAUAUAUUAUAUUUGUACUUUAAAGUCAAACUUGAUUUUAAUAGUUCAAGUGAUAAAGUAAGAACAAUAAGUAAACAUCUACAAACUAUGUAUUUGAUUUGGAAUUAUUAACUUGUCCAGGAAGUAGCUGUGAACCAGAAAACCGACUCGAGACUCGAGAGUAAUUUAUUUGGAUAUUUGGUGAGUGUUUUCCAAAUUUAUGUGUUAAACUGCUUAUGUUUACCUAAGUGCAAUUAUAUGGCAAAUGUGCUUAUUAUGAAAUAUUGCUAAGUGAUUUAUUGCUAAGUGUAUCUCAAUUGUCCCUCGCCUUUUAAGUCGAGUGUGUACUUUAUCGCACUCGGUUUAGUUGAGUUUGAAAGUUGAUAAUUGAUCAAGUGAUAUUGUAAGUAUGCAUGACUGUAAGCCGUGUGUGCACUUUAUCACACUGGCUGAACUGGGCUCCGAAACCCUUUGUUCAACGGACUAUUCGAGCUAGCAAAAGGGGCUCGGUCGGAUAGGACGGUAGCUUUGGGUAAGUGUAUUGGUAUGCUCGAGUAUUACCACGGAGUAGCAGAUUACUGAUAUUGAUAUGGCCAUCCAAGUGAGGGAAGUGUUUAUUGUUUUGGAGGUUAUAAGGAGGAGUUCGGCGGAGUGUGUAGUGCAUUGAAGUGGCUCUAAUGCGAGCACCGUAUCCUUUUAAAAGUGAUUGUUCAGUGAAGUGUUUCCUCAAUUGCUAAUGAAAGUGAUUGUACAGUGAAAUGUGCACUACUUGCUUAAUUGUAUUGAUUCAUGUGAUUAUUAAAUGUCACUUGCAUGAAAACCUCACGGGCGUAAGCUCACCCUUUUAGGUUUGUUUUCCUUACAGGAGUCAGAGAUUGAAUAGUGAUUGGAUGGAACUAGAAAGUUAUUUUGGGAAGAUCCGUUAUUCUGUGUAUAUAGUGUAGGCAUGGUCUCUUUUGAAUUUUGAAACGGUUGAAUUUUUGUUUGAGUUGGUGUGAUAUUAAGAAUGGAUAUUUAGAAUAGGUAUUUUGUUUCUUUUAUUGGACAAAUUUAUGUUUCAAAUUGAUUGAAGAUGUACUUAAGAGUGAAUGUUCAGUUGUCCAAUGGUAAUGUUAUCUCUGAAGUUAAUGUGAGUAAGUGAGCCCUGGCGAGAGUCAGGCAGGCGAUCCGCUAAUUUCUAGGGUAUGCCCUAGGAGAAUGUGGGGUCGUUACAGAAUUAACCCUUUAA